AAACAAUAAAUGUUUCAAUGAUUUUAUUGAAUUUUAACUCCUCCCUCACAAGAAAAAAAAUAUAAAUAAAAAAAAUAAAAAUAAAUAGCUAAGAUAAGCUUUAAAACACACUGAAAGUAAUUAAGAAAAAGAAAAGCAAAAAAAACCAAAAAAAACGAAAAUGGCCCUUAUAGCCCCUAGUCCUUUAUGAAUAUAUAAAUAAAUAUCAGGAAAUAACAAUGUAAAGAGGUAAAUAGAAAAAAGAAAUGAGAACCACUUGCAUUCACUUUCACUUUCUCUCAGUCUCUCAUACACACAUACAAUUCUUACUUACAUACACACAUACAUUACUUAAUUAUGUACAUAAUUAUUGUUCACAAUUACAUCAAAGAAUAACCAAAAUCUAAUCAAAAAAUUUGCUCACAGAUUAAUAUCGUACUCUAUGGUGGAAAUAUAUAUUGUAAUGGGGUCCAAAAUUUUUCAUAUACAUCAACAUUAUUAUUUUUCUUUGCAAUAUAAUAUUCAUAUGACUGAUAUUGUUUUAUUCUAUUUUUAAAACCAAAAUAUUAGGAGUAAGUUCCUUAAAACUUACAUUUAUAAAUAUAAUUUUUUGCUACUAUAAAUAAAAGAUUCAUGAAUAAGCUUUCUGAAUAGAAACCAAGGAAUAUCUGCUUUUUACUGAUGGCAAAAUCCCUGCUAUACAAUCUUAUUUGCUGUAAUAAUGAUGACCAAAAUUGAUAUGUUAUUGGACAAUCAUAGAAAAAAUGUACAAUAGUUUCGUCAUCAAGUUUACAAAAAGUACAUGAACUAGAAUCUUUCUUCUUUAUCUUGUACAAAAAAGAGUUUGUAGGAAUUAUUUGGUGCAGUAUUUUGUAUUGGAAGCUUUUUAAGUAGGUAUCUUUGCAAGACUUCCUUAGUAGCAUAAAGUAUGUUUGCCAAUUUUCAAUUUCUGAGUCUAACAACUGCUCCCAUUUCUGAAAUUUUUCAAGGGGAGGUUGAAAUAUAUGAUCGAUAAGACUCUUAUACACAAAUUUUGGUUUCUUAUUCUUAAUAAUCUGAGUACAAAAAGCAUCAGAGAUUUUGACAUUUUCAAUCUGUUGAGAAUCACAAUAUUCUUUUAUGUGAUCUUUAAUAAAUUUUGGAAUAUUGGAGAUUAGACUGUAAUAUUUCAGAAAAUUAUUUGUAAGAAUCUUAUGUCUAAUCUUUUCAAAUGUAAAGAAUUCUUUGUUUUGAUCAUUUACAAGGUCUUUUAUAUACUGUACACCAAAGUCCUUCCAUUGCAUAUAAAUAGUGUAAUCUGAAAGUGGCACAAAAUUUAAAAUAUCUAGCGAUAAUAUAUCAUUUGUACAAGCCUUAGUAUCAGGCUUUGCAGUAUGUAAGCAAAAUAAAACAUCUUUCCAAAA
rnacentral:lncRNA from 1 species